AUUGAACGCUGGCGGCAUGCCUUACACAUGCAAGUCGAACGGUAACAGGUCUUCGGAUGCUGACGAGUGGCGAACGGGUGAGUAAUACAUCGGAACGUGCCUAGUAGUGGGGGAUAACUACUCGAAAGAGUGGCUAAUACCGCAUGAGAUCUACGGAUGAAAGCAGGGGAUCGCAAGACCUUGUGCUACUAGAGCGGCCGAUGGCAGAUUAGGUAGUUGGUGGGAUAAAAGCUUACCAAGCCGACGAUCUGUAGCUGGUCUGAGAGGACGAUCAGCCGCACUGGGACUGGGACACGGCCCAGACUCCUACGGGAGGCAGCAGUGGGGAAUUGUGGACGAUGGGCGAAAGCCUGAUCCAGCAAUGCCGCGUGAAGGAGGAAGGCCUUCGGGUUGUAAACUGCUUUUGUACGGAACGAAAAGCCCCGGGUUAAUACCCUGGGGUCAUGACGGUACUGUAAGAAUAAGCACCGGCUAACUACGUGCCAGCCGCCGCAGUAA
rnacentral:rRNA from 1 species